GCUGGGCGCAGUGGCGGGUGCCUGUAAUCCCAGCUACUCGGGAGGCUGAGGCGGGAGAAUCGCUUGAACCCAGGAGGCAGAGGUUGCAGUGAGCAGAGAUUGUGCCACAGCACUCUAACCUGGGUGACAGAGCAAGACUCUGUCUCAA
ensembl:misc_RNA Metazoa_SRP Metazoan signal recognition particle RNA